rnacentral:tRNA from 1 species
AGCAGAGUAGAGAAGCAGCUAUCUCAUCUGGUUCAUACCCAGAAGAUCGCAGGUGCAAGUCCUGCCUCUGCAACCA